GGGAAAGCACAGCACAAACAAGUACCUCGGGGGGUGAAGAAAUGGAGAGGGUCUUAAGUUUAAUGACAAUAACAGAGACGGAAUCGGCGAUGAACACGGGGAGCACAACGAGCAUUCCAGAAUCGGCGAUGAACACGGGGAGCACAACGGAUGAGGGUGUAAAGAAGAAAAGUUGGCUGGAUGAAAUGGACUUGGAGGAGAUAUCGGACUCGGAUGAUGGGGAAAAAUUUGAAAGAAUGAGAGGAGGAUACAGGAAGAGGAAAGCAGCGGAGGGGGGGGAGAGAAAGGGUGGAAGAGGAAAGAAACUGGAUAAAAGCCAUGCUAGAUACGCUGUAAGACAAAGAAGGAAUUUAGGACAUUAUGAA
rnacentral:lncRNA from 1 species